rnacentral:tRNA from 1 species
ACCUUCGUGGUGUAGUGGUCAGCACACUCGACGCGUAUUCGAGAAGUCCGUGUUCGAAUCCUGGUGAGGGUA